AGUAGUGAUCGUGAAUCAUCGAAUCUUUGAACGCACAUUGCGCCGUAAGGCAUGUCUGUUUGAGAAUCAGUUUAAUUAUCACACUGCUGGGGCAACCCGACAUGUGUGGACUUGGAGCUUCUUUUUAAGAGCUCUUAAUUUCAGCUACACGCACUCCAUGGCGCUGAUCUGGAAGGCAAGACCAGUUGAAGAAAUUCAAAUGAUUGCUGAGGAAAAGCUCGUAAUUGGCAGCCAGUGUUUAAAAUAACGGGGAGAAAUCCUUAAGACGUGAUCUCAAAUCAGACAAGACUACCCGCUGAACUUAAGCAUAUCAAUAAGCGGAGG
rnacentral:rRNA from 1 species